GCAUCGAUGGUUCAGUGGUAAAAUGCUCGCCUGCCACGCGGGUUCGAUUCCCGGCCGAUGCA
rnacentral:tRNA from 1 species